UCAUCAUCCGCCCCGCCAGCUUGACAUGCAAGCCGGUAAUCGCUGAGCCACACUCCAGGAUUCGUCUCCCCUGAGUAUUUGGCUAUACUCGUGGGUUGCCUGAAGCGCGGCGGAAAAGGCGCGUUCAGGAUGCGCGUAGAGAAGGCCCGGGGCCCAGCCGAACCAGGGAUCGGGCUGCGGUCUUCCCCGCUGUCGUAGCGCCCGCCACGGUGGACGUGGUUGUUGGGAUACGAGGUAGGCUACACUAGCGCAAAUCAAAAUUUCUACCGCGUAAAACCAGGAAGAACUGUCAUAUAAGGAUCACGGGAUUACCACUCGAUGCACUACUGGUGCGGAAGAUGUAG
rnacentral:lncRNA from 1 species